GAGGAGGAAGGUGCAAAGUGGUGGGAGGCUGCGGGUCUCCCGGAGGGUGAGGCGUUGGGGACCAGGCGGGAGCACAGCCGAACCCCUACCUUUCGGGCGGGGCGGACACCAGCCGCGCGCCCUCGCCGGGCGCCGGGACCGGAAAAUCACCGCGAAGGGAGGGACGAGGAAAGGCGGCGGGUGGCUUCAGGACAAGGACUUUGUGAUUACAUUGGGCCCAUCCAGAUCAUCCAGGAUCAUCUUCCCAUCUCAAGAUUCUUCACUUAAUCACAUCUGCAAAAUUCCUUUUGCUGUGUUGAUUCUGUUAUACAAGUACAGAAUAACUGCAGUACAAAACAGCAAUCAAGUCUGAACAGGAAAUCUCUGGACAAAGAGAAAAAUACUAUCAUUGAAAUAAGGGACAAGGGAUUAUGGCAAUAUUAAAUAAUGGCACUGAUUAGUGAAAUGAUUCUAGGGGGAAGUGUCAAAAGAUUUUCUAAAGAACAUGUACUGAGCAGAUGAUCGCUGACUGCAUAAUUGCCCUUUCUGGGUAGGUGUGUAAGACACACACACGCACACACACGUUUGGGAGAAUUGUGACCAUCGGGUUCCAUAGUAACAAGAUAAGUUAUAAUAGCCACCUUUCAUUGAGCACCUACAAUAUGUCACAAACUGUGAUAGGGACUUUAUGUAUUUCAAUACACUAUCUGUUAUCUAUUUUCCUUUUUUUUUGGAGACGGAGUUUCACUCUUGUUGCCCAGGCUGGAGUGUGAUCUCGGCUGGUGCUAUCUCGGCUCAUGGCAACUUCUACUUCCCGGGUUCAAGUGAUACUCCUGUCUCAGCCUCCCGAGUAGCUGGGAUUACAGGCAUGCACUACCACGCCUGGCUAAUUUUGUAUUUUUAGUAGAGACGGGGUUUCUCCUUGUUGGUCAGGCUGGUCUCAAACUCCCGACCUCAGGUGAUCUGCCAGCCUCGGCCUCCUGAAGUCCUGGGAUUACAGGCGUGAUCCAUCUCACCCGGCCUUGUUACCUAUUUUCUAUUGGUAACUGAGGUAAAACCUAUUGGAGGCUUAGCAGUAGGUUCAUGUGUUCAUACAUUUUGGGGAAUGUAAGAGAGUAUCAGGGCAAUUGAUUAUUGCCUUUGUGGGUUGAAAGCAGCAACACAGGAAUAGAUUGCUGAUAUGAAGAGUGAGAUGACCUGUAGAGUAAGCAAUCUAACCAUUAACAUCAACUCAACUUGGGCAAUAAAAUUUGAUAUUUUACUUAUGGGACAAAUAUUUAUUGAGUGUCCAGUUUGUGUCAGGUACUAAAUACGUAAGCUUUACUAAUCCCACUUCUAGAAGAAUGAUUUCUUUUUCUUUUUGAAAUAACACUUCAGCAGAGCACCACAUUGUUUCAGACUUAAGUUUCCUUUUCCAUUUUGUCGACACCAACAGUGUUCUUAUAAUAUUAACUCACCAACAUUUAGUCUAUAAUAUGAUUGCCAGGGAUGUGGCAAUAUGUCCUUGGGAGCUUCAAGCCAUAUAUAUCUGGUCCAUCUUUUGGAAAGUUCAUGACAUAGAUGGGCAAGGAUACAAUUUAUACUCAGGAGAUGCAGCCACCCUAACAGAGUUACAAAUGAAUGUUAAAUGACAUAAACUAUGCGUAGUGCAAGCACGGAAGCAUCUCUUUGGUCUGAGGGAUAUUUGCAGGGACCUUGAAUAGGCAGAGAGAGGGGGACAUGUGGUCUAAGCCUCUGAGUUGGGAGAGGACAAUGAUGGGCAUGGGGGAGAAUGUAUAUGCUGUUUGACUUGAGAGGAUGACAUGUAGGCAUUAUGGUAGUCUUUUUCUUGACAUCUGAUACACAAUCACUUCUUUCUUUUCUCCAUGAAAUCUAGCCACAAAGAUGAGUUGCUCAAAUGUCAAGGUCUACCCCUCUUUAAAGCCUCCAUGAUUUGCACUCUCUGCAGCCUUGGCCAGGAUUGUCCUUAUCUUGCCCUGUCGCUGAUGGGUUAUUUACUACUCAUCUUUCAAGGGCCGGGUAGAAUUUUACCUAUUCUGAGACACCUUCAAGCAGAAUGAGUCUUUCCUUUGCUGUGCU
ensembl:lncRNA ST3GAL6-AS1 ST3GAL6 antisense RNA 1